AAACGCUGGAAAGCAGCCGUCCGAAAGGCCGGCUCGCCGAAGGAGCAAGGCUGACCCCAAACAGCAGAGGGGGAAGGCCGGAAUCUCUCAGGCCAAAGGGACAGCGGGGG
rnacentral:ncRNA from 1 species